rnacentral:rRNA from 1 species
AUUGAACGCUGGCGGCAGGCCUAACACAUGCAAGUCGAACGGUAACAGGGAUCAGCUUGCUGUUUCGCUGACGAGUGGCGGACGGGUGUGUAAUGUCUGGGAAACUGCUUGAUGGCGGGGGAUAACUACUGGAAACGGUAGCUAAUACCGCAUAACUUCGCAACACCAAAGAGGGGGACCUUCGGGCCUCUUGCCAUCCGAUUUGCCCAGAAGGGAUUAGCUAGUAGGUGGGGUAACGGCUCACCUAGGCAACGAUCCCUAGCUGGUCUGAGAGGAUGACCAGCCACACUGGAACUGAGACACGGUCCAGACUCCUACGGGAGGCAGCAGUAGGGAAUAUUGCGCAAUGGGCGCAAGCCUGAUGGAGCCAUGCCGCGUGUAUGAAGAAGGCCUUCGGGUUGUAAAGUACUGUCAGCGGGGAGGAAGGGAGGAAAGUGAAAACCUUUGCUCAUUGACGUUACCCGCAGAAGAAGCACCGGCUAACUCCGUG